rnacentral:rRNA from 1 species
UAUAUCCCCAAAAAACUUAAAUACUAAAUAGGAUCUAAACUAUUCUACCGCCCCAGCAAAAUUCCACAAACCUCUAAUUAAAUAACCAAAACUUCUCAAAGGCACUAAAGAGACAUAUGAAAUAAAGAUUCACAGGGUCUUCUCGUCCAUUGAAACUAUUUCAUCCUUCUCAAUGAAAAAUUAAAUUCAACCACUAAAACAAAUUAAAGAAAGAAAAAGUCUCAUAAACCCAUUCAUACCAUUCCACAAUCAAUGAACUAAUUAUUAUGUACCUUUGCAA